rnacentral:rRNA from 1 species
CCUACGGGUGGCAGCAGUGAGGAAUAUUGGUCAAUGGUCGGGAGACUGAACCAGCCAAGCCGCGUGAGGGAGGACGGUACAGAGUAUCGUAAACCUCUUUUGUCAGGGAACAAAGACUGGGACGCGUCCCCGGAUGAGUGUACCUGAAGAAAAAGCAUCGGCUAACUCCGUGCCAGCAGCCGCGGUAAUACGGAGGAUGCGAGCGUUAUCCGGCUUUAUUGGGUUUAAAGGGUGCGCAGGCGGUCUGUUAAGUCAGCGGUAAAAGUCCGGGGCUCAACCCCGGCCCGCCGUUGAAACUGGCAGUCUAGAGUUGGAGAGAAGUAUGCGGAAUGCGCGGUGUAGCGGUGAAAUGCAUAGAUAUCGCGCAGAACUCCGAUUGCGAAGGCAGCAUGCCGGCUCCACACUGACGCUGAGGCACGAAAGCGUGGGUAUCGAACAGGAUUAGAUACCCGGGUAGUC